rnacentral:rRNA from 1 species
GCAGCAGGCGCGCAAAUUACCCACUCCCGGCACGGGGAGGUAGUGACGAAAAAUAACGAUACGGGACUCAUCCGAGGCCCCGUAAUCGGAAUGAGUACACUCUAAACCCUUUAACGAGUAUCCAUUGGAGGGCAAGUCUGGUGCCAGCAGCCGCGGUAAUUCCAGCUCCAAUAGCGUAUAUUAAAGUUGUUGCGGUUAAAAAGCUCGUAGUUGGACUUGUGUCCCACGCUGUCGGUUCACCGUUCGUCGGUGUUUAACUGGCAUGCCCGUGCGGACGUCCUGCCGGUGGAUGCGGUCGGCCGUGGGCCUUUGGUCUGCGUGUCGGCGGUCCGAUGCAAUCCUACCGCGGUGCUCUUCACCGAGUGUCGAGGUGGGCCGGCACGUUUACUUUGAACAAAUUAGAGUGCUCAAAGCAGGCAGUGGUUCGCCUGAAUAUUGUGUGCAUGGAAUAAUGGAAUAGGACCUCGGUUCUAUUUUGUUGGUUUUCGGAACCUGAGGUAAUGAUUAAUAGGGACAGACGGGGGCAUUCGUAUUGCGACGUUAGAGGUGAAAUUCUUGGAUCGUCGCAAGACGAACCUAAGCGAAAGCAUUUGCCAUGAGUGUUUUCAUUAAUCAAGAACGAAAGUUAGAGGUUCGAAGGCGAUCAGAUACCGCCCUAGUUCUAACCAUAAACGAUGCCAGCUAGCGAUCCGCCGAAGUUCCUCCGAUGACUCGGCGGGCAGCUUCCGGGAAACCAAAGCUUUUGGGUUCCGGGGGAAGUAUGGUUGCAAAGCUGAAACUUAAAGGAAUUGACGGAAGGGCACCACCAGGAGUGGAGCCUGCGGCUUAAUUUGACUCAACACGGCGAAACCUCACCAGGCCCGGACACCGGAAGGAUUGACAGAUUGAUAGCUCUUUCUUGAUUCGGUGGGUGGUGGUGCAUGG